rnacentral:lncRNA from 1 species
UUUUGGAUGGUAGCUCUUAUGUGAAGGCGGCUCAGAAGCUUCACGAAACGGAUCCUCUCCAAAAACCAAAGCAAGAUCGUUAUGCUCUUAGAACGUCGCCCCAAUGGCUUGGCCCUCAAAUUGAGGUCAUCCGUUCUGCAACCAAGAUGAUUGAGAGGGAGAUUAAUUCAGUGAACGACAACCCUUUGAUCGAUGUUUCAAGAAACAAGGCAUUACACGGUGGCAACUUCCAGGGCACUCCAAUUGGUGUCUCUAUGGACAAUGCUAGAUUAGCCCUUGCAUCAAUAGGGAAAUUGAUGUUUGCCCAAUUCUCCGAGCUUGUCAACGAUUACUACAACAACGGAUUGCCAUCUAAUCUGACAGCAGGAAGGAAUCCUAGCUUGGACUAUGGUUUCAAGGGAUCUGAGAUUGCCAUGGCUUCAUACUGUUCAGAACUUCAAUUCUUGGCAAAUCCAGUGACUAACCACGUACAAAGCGCCGAGCAACACAACCAAGAUGUGAACUCCUUGGGCUUAAUCUCAGCUAGAAAAACAGCUGAAGCCGUGGACAUCUUAAAGCUAAUGUCAUCCACAUAUCUAGUUGCACUUUGCCAAGCAAUAGACUUGAGGCAUUUGGAAGAAAAUCUGAGGAAUGCAGUCA